rnacentral:rRNA from 1 species
GACGAACGCUGGCUGCGCGCUUAACACAUGCAAGUCGAACGGAAAGGCCUGCUUUCCCUUGUGGUUUGCGGGUACUCGCGUGGCGAACGGGUGAGUACCACGUGAGUGAUCUGCCCCCACCUUGGGUAUAAGCCUGGGAAACUGGGUCUAAUUCCCGAUAGAACUGCAGGGUGCUGCCUGUGGUGGAAAACGAUUUUUUAGUGGUUGGGGAUGAGCUGUCGGCCUAUCAGCUUGUUGGUGGGGUAAUGGCCUACCAAGGCGGCGACGGGGAGCCGGCCUGGGAGGAUGGACGGCAAAAUUGGGACUGGGAUCCGGCCCAGACUCCUACGGGAGGCAGCAGUGGGGAAUAUUGCACAAGGGGCGGAAGCCUGAUGCGGCGAGGCGGCGUGGGGGAUGACGGCCUUCGGGUUGUAAACUCCUUUCGACCGCGAGGAAGCCACCUGGUUGGAAGGGUGGUGACGGUAGUGGUAGAAGAAGCACCGGCUAACUACGUG